rnacentral:sRNA from 12 species
AUCAGGAAGAACGGCUAUGGGCGAAGCUCAUCAUUUAAUCCGUUCCGACGACUUGCCGCUGAACAAAAGUGAGGGGGCAUUACCGAUU